ensembl:lncRNA
UGUGACAUCACCGGGUCCAAACGUCAGGACGGGCUACCUAGGAUGUCCAGAACCCGUGCUGCUGGAGGAUGCUUCCUCGCAGCGGGGUCCAGUCAAGUGAUGCUCGCUGGAGGAUGUAGGAGUGAGCCAAGCAGGCGAGACAGAGGCACAGGAGACUGAAAAUCUCUAUUUCCUCUUCUUCCUGGUUUGAGUAUGACCCCUCACCUGGCUUGUGACCCUUCAACUGGAUAUCACUCCUAAGAGUUGGCUCUGGGGCAGGCUACUCCUGUUGAACCACAGCAUCUUCACAAGGUCCUUUGCUGUUG